rnacentral:lncRNA from 1 species
CUCCAGAGUUCUUUGCUUUCCAUUCACCUUCCUUCGUCAGCUCUAACCUGAACAGCAAACUGCAGGACCCUCUUAAGAUGUAAGGAUCAUCUGGAUAAUUAUAGCCUUCACAGCUCACUUCAAUUUGUCCAAAACGAAGAGUGUUUUCCAAGUCUGCUUUGCACUGCCACUGCACAUCGUAGCCAUCCCAGCCUCUGUUGUAG